rnacentral:rRNA from 1 species
UACGUAGGGGCCUAGCGUUGUCCGGAUUUAUUGGGCGUAAAGAGCUCGUAGGCGGCUUGGUUAGUCGGGUGUGAAAUCUCCACGCUCAACGUGGAGGGGCCACCCGAUACUGCCAUGGCUUGAGUCCGGUAGGGGAGUGUGGAAUUCCCGGUGUAGCGGUGAAAUGCGCAGAUAUCGGGAGGAACACCCGUAGCGAAGGCGGCACUCUGGGCCGGUACUGACGCUGAGGAGCGAAAGCGUGGGGA